GACGAACGCUGGCGGCGUGCUUAACACAUGCUAGUCGAACGGAAAGGCCCUGCUUUUGUGGGGUGCUCGAGUGGCGAACGGGUGAGUAACACGUGAGUAACCUGCCCUUGACUUUGGGAUAACUUAAGGAAACUGGGGCUAAUACCGGACAGGAGCUCCUGCUGCAGGGUGGGGGUUGGAUAGUUUCGGCGGUUGGGGAUGGACUCGCGGCUUAUCAGCUUGUUGGUUGGGUAGUGGCUUACCAAGGCUUGGACGGGUAGCCGGCCUGAGAGGGUGACCGGCCACAUUGGGACUGCGAUACGGCCCAGACUCGUACGGGAGGCAGCAGUGGGGAGUAUUGCACAAUGGGCGGAAGCCUGAUGCAGCAACGCCGCGUGCGGGAUGACGGCCUUCGGGUUGUAAACCGCUUUCGCCUGUGACGAAGCGUGAGUGACGGUAAUGAGUAAAGAAGCACCGGCUAACUACGUG
rnacentral:rRNA from 1 species